UUUGAACGCUGGCGGCAUGGCUAAAACAUGCAAGUCGAACGAGAAAGAGGAGCAAUCCUCGAGUAAAGUGGCGAAAGGGUGAGUAAUACGUUCCUACGUGCCUUGAGGUCAGGGAUAGCCAAGGGAAACCUUGGGUAAUACCUGAUGUGGUCGAGAGAUCAAAGGCUUGCCCGCCUCUUGAGCGGGGAACGUCCUAUCAGCUAGUUGGUGAGGUAACGCUCACCAAGCAAUGGACGGGUAGCGGGUGUGAGAGCAUCGGCCCGCCACAU
rnacentral:rRNA from 1 species